rnacentral:lncRNA from 1 species
ACGGUACUGUCUUUUCCUCUACUGCCGUGCACUCUUGAGGGAGGCGGUGGCGACAAUGGGCCAGAGGUGAUAGUUGGAACGGGGGACUUGUAAGGCGUCCAGAGCAGAGAGCUGCUUCCACCCUGAGAUGUCACAGCCCUCCCGCAUGCUCCUCCCUGCUGCCUGCCCCCGGGGUGGCCGCCGGCACCGCAGCUCUGCGCCCAAACCGGCACGUCCCAAGCCCGACGUUCCGGUGACUGCAGGGGUUUUCCCGGUGCUUGGUGUUUCCUCCCCGUCGUCCUUUAAACGCGAAUGUGACCCUACCACCAAAGUGGAGUGCAGUCCAGAAUCACCAAACCUGGGCUUCCAGGUGUCUGGAAACACAAUGUUAACAUUUGUUUUGCUCCAAAACAAAGUGUGACCGUGUCGGACGUUUUAGUCCAGCCCCAAAUUUUGCCUCUGAGCAAGAUUCCCAGGACCUCAUUGGAGCAGUUUACAGCCAGUCUUAUCUCACUAUUAACUUCCAUUUUCUGCUGUAGUACUUAAAGUGACAGAAGUUACUCUUCCUAGAAGUAAGUUUUCCAGACGAUUCAAACUGCUGUUAUACAGAGAUUUAAGUAUUUGUG